rnacentral:rRNA from 1 species
CGCCAGACUCCUACGGGAGGCAGCAGUCGGGAAUAUUGCGCAAUGGAGGAAACUCUGACGCAGUGACGCCGCGUAUAGGAAGAAGGUUUUCGGAUUGUAAACUAUUGUCGUUAGGGAAGAUAAAAGACAGUACCUAAGGAGGAAGCUCCGGCUAACUACGUGCCAGCAGCCGCGGUAAUACGUAGGUGGCAAGCGUUAUCCGGAUUUAUUGGGUGUAAAGGGAGCGUAGGCGGGCUUGUAAGUUGAAUGUCUAAUCCACCGGCUCAACCGGUGAUCGCGUUCAAAACUGCAGGUCUUGAGUGAAGUAGAGGCAGGCGGAAUUCCUAGUGUAGCGGUGAAAUGCGUAGAUAUUAGGAGGAACACCAGUGGCGAAGGCGGCCUGCUGGGCUUUAACUGACGCUGAGGCUCGAAAGCGUGGGGAGCAAACAGGAUUAGAUACCCCAGUAUAC